UAGCGGGUGGAAGUUUGAACUCA
rnacentral:piRNA from 1 species